CUUUUACCAGGAGCUCCCAUGUCAUGGCCACUUGUCUCUGUAUAUAAAGGGAGUGAUGGGGGUGCUGCUUUGGACAAAUGGACCUGGGGUGGGGGAAAGGGGCAGCAGACAGAGGCUGCCUUGGCAAGGAUAUCUCUGCUGUUGGCCAGAAAUUGGAAAUGUAAGAAGAUGGUGAAGUACCACAGAUGUAAGUGUUCAGUAUGCUGUGUCAAGGAUUCACUACAGAGAAAAAAAUCAAAGAAGUUAUGCCAGAAAAAGAACAAGAAGACAAGUCAGCAGCUUAAGGCAAUGCCCUGGUUGAAGACACUGCUUGACAUCUUGUUUUUCCAUGUCGUGUUUUCUCCCAUGGCCAGGAAAAAGAAAAGCCUCUCCUGGUGCAGGCCCAAGGCCACCAUGAUCAUCGUUGAUUUUACAUCUCCACCCCAGGGUGUCUAAGUAAAAUCUCUCUCCUUUCACUGAAGAAUGUGUUUUGUGUGUUUUUGCUCAGCUGAAAGGCUCAGUGCAUAUUCACAUCUGUUACCAGCAAGAAUGGGCUUGGGUGUCACUGGAAACAAGGAGAACAGAAUCUAAGGAUUCUUAAGCCCAGAGAAAGCUCUGACUUCCCCAUUUUCUCUGAGACUUCACACUAGAUCUUUUAAGGUUCACAACAUGGAUAAGUGGUUACCUUCAUGAAAGAACUUGGUAGAGUGGCUCCAGCAGGCCAAAGGUGGUCCCCCAAAGGAGAAUGGAGGCCAGUACAAAGCACUGGGGAAGAAAGAAGCACACCAGAGUUGGAAAGCACGCGAUGAACCAGUGAAGGGGAUCUGAAGGGACCUGCGCAGAGCCCUGGUGGUUUUCACUAUGUGGACCUCGAAAAAUCCAGCUUAUCAGAGGCUCAGGGGCCUCAGAUGUGUGAUUUGGGCAGCUAGUGUCCUGGGAGGUUGGGGAAACAUUAGUCAAGUCAGGGAGGAUCAGAUCAUCUCUUGCAGAGGUAAACAUAGAGGUGGGGGACAAUGCUUUCCAGGCUGGAGAACCAGUGACAAGAAUGGUCAAGGCAAAUCCAGGGACAUGGACUCUACUUCAGGGAAGCCUCAUACAUGAGGCCAAGGAACUUGCUGGAGUUUGUACUUUGCUUCUGUGUAUUAGCAUCAUGCCAUAAUGUCAUCCUCAAAAAUCAUACAUGACUCAGGCACGGUACCUACCACCCAGUAGGUCCUGGGAGUAAGCUGGGCUGAAACCAAAAGAUGUGCUUGCUGAAGGAAGGGACCAGUCUUCCCUGUACUAGCUUUAGAUGGAUCUGGAUGGCACCCUGUCUGCUGG